ACGUUGAGCAAGAAAGUUGCAACGUCCAAUCGGCCAUGAUUAAUUACGACCCUCAUUAAGAGCAGACGACCUCGUGGGCUUUUUGUUUUCGUGUCCUCUCUUCUGUGUUGUUCCGGUUGAAGCCCUUAUGAAUUAUCAUCCCCUAAAAAGAUUUUUCAUUUGCAAUUAUUCGCCACAAGUUUUAAUUAACCGUAGUUGCAAUCAAGCCGAUUAAAAAAAUUACUUCAUCAUGUGGCAACACGCAACAUGUAAAAGCAUAAAGAAAUCUCAAACCGGUUCAAAAGAAUGUGGACUUGGGCAACAUCUUUCUUCCAAAUACCUUUGUAACUUCUGUUUUCGAAGGUUAGUAACUUAGUACACCUCAUGUUUCACCUGUGAUAUGAUAUCGAUCCAUACGUUAUCGAAUUAGUUCGCAAGUGUACAACCGAUUUAAUUGUGUAACAAAAAUCAUGAAAUCUAGUUUAGUGAAGGAACUGACUGAUAAUCAUUUUUGUGGCGAGAAACUGUGGUUUUAGUUUCCUUCCCAAGGUUCCUUAUAUGUUUUCCAUCCUAGACCUCAACAACUUAUGAAAUAUUCCCAUUUGAACUAUUGCAUUGAAACAAGCCAGUCGAAAGCAGAAUUUUUUACUUACUCACCAUCACAGCACCUUUUGUUUUUGAAAGAAGUAAAAUGUUUGCUCUCUUUUUAUUGCUCUCAGUCUCAACGAAUGGAUUAUCGCCUUUAAUCAUAGGAAAAGAGCGAACAACGCCCGAUUGGAUAAAAUGCCCUUCUCACAUUGGACCGUCGACAAAAUGCUUCUCAAACUCAAAAAUGGAUUGUUACUGUUUAGUUUCGAAAAAGAUGAUUCGAGAAGAUGCUAGCCAACAUUGCCGCGAUAAUAACAUGCAUCUCCUUUCAAUUGAAACCCAAGAGGAAAAUGAAUUUGUUAUCAACUUGGUGAAGAAAAAUGAUGACUUAAUAACAAAUCAAUUUUGGACUCUGGGUUACAAUGCAAAUUUGGACCCAAACAACUGGGGCUGGCAACAACCUAAUUUGAAUGUUUCUAAGCCUCUUACAUACAAAAAUUGGUGUCGUGGGUCCGAGCCAGAUAACGGAUUCGAAAACGAGCAUUUUAUUGCUGUCAUAAAUAGGUGUUGGCAUGACGUACCUGGACAUUUUGAUUGGGCAUCCGUGUGUGAACGUGAAGCGAAUAUCUUUGAUCCGAAUUUAGAUGAAAAAUUUUUCUUCACAUUUCCGGGAGAACACAAAGCAGUCGUACCAUGCCGGCCAGCAACCAACUUCGAUUUAUUCCGCGUAAAUGUUUCUAAAGAAAUUAAAAAGCCAACAAACGUUUAUCAUCAGAUUAUACUCAACGGGACAUCAGGAAACAAAAACUACGAAUAUGAUCCGUUGGAAGGAUUCGUCAUUAAGAACGUGUCGGUGAGUGACAACGGAACGUACAAAUGCUCAAUUUUCUUAGGAAUGCAAGAAGCCUGGCAGCAUUUUCAUGUCAUUACCACAGUGCUAAAAGCAGACCCAAGAUGGGAUCCAUCGGAAGGAACUGACGUAACUUUGACAUGUAACACACAAAAGUUAAAACUGGGAGGUCGGACUGUCGAUCCUGUCGAAUGGUCCGUUGUCUUUGCUAUCAGCAAAAAAGAAAAGGUUUUGACACCAACAAAUGCGGCUGCUAUGCUUCCAAUUGGUGUGCAAUUGAAGUUUAAUGAUGGCAUGGAAAAUGGUAUUUCGACAUUGAAGAUUUCCAACGUGUCGAUCGCUAUGUCAGGAACUUACAGAUGUCGAUCCGUGUUCCACGGUUUCAAUAAUUCUGUGCAAUUGACAUCAAAUAAUCUUUCCAUUAAUGUUCUAAGGAAUGUUGUUUGGUCUGAUAAGAUUUCCCGCAAAGAACUGAAAGGAAUUCUGACACCUGCCACAACCAAUGCGGAAAAUUAUCGGGUUAUCCCAGUUGGAUCCGAUCUCCGAAUAUCCUGCUCUUUCGGGACUUCCGGUCAUUUACGUUAUUACCAGUGGCAAUGGGAGCAGUUCGACGACAAUCCUCAGUAUACCUCAGAGAGAAACGAUGGAAUUUGGUCUCGGCUCACCGUGACAAGAAACAAAAACUCUGUGGACAGUACGGACAACUUUACUAUGCUCCUGACGAACGUGGAGCGUUCUGAUCGUGGCCUUUUCACUUGCCUUCUUAACGGGUCCCCUUCAACGAGCAUCAGUCAAUACAUCUAUGUCGACGACCGACAUCAAUCAGCAGAACACGCCAAUUUUGAUCUAGUGAGAAGUUCAUGGAGAAACACAUACAUCAGAACGCACGGUCAACUGGCCGUUAUACCCUGCCGACCAGUUCAUCCCAGCAUAGGAAUGGACAUUUUAAAGAUAUCAAAAGAAGAAGAAAUUAAACUGAUCAUAUCCAAUGGCACAACAUCUGACGAUAACUACGAGUACAAUCCACAAAAAGGAUUCAUCAUCCAUAGACUUUUGCCGGAACACGAUGAAUUGCGAUCGUCGACGUCUUUUCAGUGCAAGGCAGCUGGUGGAAAAAUUGAAGCGGGCCCGGAGAAGUUUUCCAUUAUGGUUAUUGGAGCGUCUGUUGAAUGUACGAAAGGCUGCUGGAGUACAUCAUCUGAACGAAUCAAUGGAUUACUCAACGCCCGAGUUAACCCAGCUGAGCUACAACAAGGCGAGCAUAAAAUAGAGUUGAAUUGCCAUGCAUACCUCAGCAAUAACGAAUCUGCUGUUAUUGAGUGGUUUGUAAUCUCUGAUGGAGGCGAAGUUAAAAUAUCCUAUUCAAAAGCGAAGGCGGGAAUAACAUUAAGUUACUCCUGGAAUAAGAAAAUGAAAGUGCAGAGCAGCACACUGACCAUUUCCAACGUGACUGACAAAUCGUUUGGUAUCUACAAGUGUUUCGUAAAGGCUAACAUGGGCAAUUACUUUGAUUCAAUCAACUUGCAGGCGAGUUUUAAGAGUCCAGCAGCUGAUCCUACGGUUACCAAUGUUUCGGUUUCGGUGACGAUCGUCGUGGUAUUUAUAUUUGUUGCCAUUACUAUUUUUCUCGUUUAUUUUCGCAAGAAAUUUACGAAAUUAGAGCAUCUUUUAUAUGGAGAUUCCACUCAAAUGAACCCAGAUGAACCGCUGGAUGAACAAACCGAUCUGUUGUCUUAUGACAAACGGUGGGAGUUUCCUAGAAAUCGCUUAAGAUUAGGAAAGCAACUGGGAGUUGGUUGUUUCGGCCGUGUGGUUCAAGCUGAGGCGGUUGGAAUCAAUGACGGAACGGAAAAUUCUGUCAGCACUGUCGCCGUAAAGAUGGUUCGAUCACGAACCAAUUUAGCCGCCAUAGAAGGACUUGUUAGUGAAUUAAAGAUUUUGAUUCAUAUGGGAGCGCAUGUGAACAUUGUGAAUCUUCUUGGCGCCUGUACAAAAGAUAUUAAUCGGGGUGAACUACUCGUGAUUCUCGAGUAUUGCCCCUUUGGAAAUCUGCGCACUUUCAUAAUCAACCAUCGUGACACGUUCGUCAAUCAAGUCAAUGAAAGUGGCGAACUGAUCGCAAGCGACGUAGAAAAUGACGCAGAUGAGGUGGUGACAACACGAAAAUUAAUUUGUUGGUCGUUUCAGAUUGCACGGGGAAUGGACUACCUCGCCAGCAAGAAGGUGUUGCACGGUGAUUUGGCGGCCCGCAAUAUUUUGCUGACCAAUCACAACGUCAUCAAAGUGGCCGAUUUCGGACUGUCCCGCCAACUUUACAGAGAUGAAAACUACACAAAGAAAAGCCGAGGAUUGCUUCCGCUCAAAUGGAUGGCCAUCGAAUCUCUGACUAACCGGAUAUGGUCCAGUCGAUCGGACGUUUGGUCUUACGGCAUCGUUUUGUGGGAGAUGUUUUCACUUGGACAAAUGCCUUAUCAAGGAUACACGGAUGAAUUCCUGUUCCUCCAAGCUUUGAAAAACGGCUAUCGAAUGGAGACACCGGAACAUACUCCAAACUUCGUGGCGAAAAUGAUGCAAGAUUGUUGGAUGGCGGAUCCUAAACAGCGACCGACUUUCAGCCAGAUUGAGGAAUUACUCGACGGUCCACUCGAGUCCUUGGUCACUUCUUUUUACUUGCAACUUAACAAAGAUUGCCAACAAUUAAAUAUCGACAAAAGGACAUACGAAAACUUCAGUGUGAAACCUGUUUAUAAACCUAUAAGGAUUAGUGUACUGAAAGGAUUAAUAAGCUUAUAGUCCAUAUCUUGCCUUAAUAAGACGCCUGCCUCUAAUAGGAAACUCUUACGUUUAGUGUUUGUCUUAAUGUGCGGAAUUCAGACCUUUCGCGAGUAGCCCUGUAUACAAAUACAGAAACUUUCCCAAGAACUUGGGUGUUUCACUGGAAUUUCCCUAAAAGAUUUCCGCCAAUACGAUUUCGACGACGUCGACAAAGAGGAAGAGAAGUUCAAAAUGAAGUAAGGUUUUAAGCUAGUGACGCAGUUUGAAGACGAUUACAGUUAAAAAAGUGUAAACUUUUUUAUUCUUGUAAAUCCAAUCGUUAUUAAUUCCCUCUUGGCUUUCCAGGAGGAUUCUGUAUGACUCUGAUUCUGGAUUCUCAGAUUCUGGCGGUUUCGCAUUCUUCUCCAUUUUUCGAUUUUUAUGGUUUCUAUCGAUUUCUUACAGAAAAGUAUCGUCUGCUUUUCUUUUGUUCACAAUGGUUCACAAGUCAAAACUCACAAAAUUUCGGAAAAAGAUACGAAGAUUAAGAUUAUUUAAAAGAACACGGAACGAUCUUUUUUUUUGUGGAAACGUCCGUGGGCCGUGGCUGCACGAAAAAUAAGGCAACGAAUGAAUUACACGGAAUUAUAUAAAUGUGGUCGGCGUGUGAACCUUGGUGUCGCUGCUCUCCAUGCUCUCCACUUCAUGCUUUUUGGCAGAUUUGAGGCCUGAGCUAACAACAUAUGAUAUACAAGUUUCAUUUGCCGGUAUUGACCUGUCAUCAUCCAACCACAAUCUCAGUAUCACCAUCACUUGGAUAGCAUCCUGUUUUAUUGAAUGAACUACCAAUGUUGGUCAAGUCCCCCAUCUGUUCUCGCUUAGGCCUACCCCAUGUGAGUGUGGGUUUGUUCACGAGGACCCCCUUUUCCUAUCCUGCCUGGUGGAUUCAACUUCUCUGCAGCUGGAUGGAGCCCUUGUGGAUGUCUGGCUGUAUUUCCCAGGCUUAAAGGUAA